AGAGUUUGAUCCUGGCUCAGAUUGAACGCUGGCGGCAUGCCUUACACAUGCAAGUCGAACGGCAGCACGGGAGUAAUCCUGGUGGCGAGUGGCGAACGAGUGAGUAAUACAUCGGAACGUGUCCUGUAGUGGGGGAUAGCCCGGCGAAAGCCGGAUUAAUACCGCAUACGAUCUACGGAAGAAAGCGGGGGAUCCUUCGGGACCUCGCGCUAUAGGGGCGGCCGAUGGCAGAUUAGCUAGUUGGUGGGGUAAAGGCCUACCAAGGCGACGAUCUGUAGCUGGUCUGAGAGGACGACCAGCCACACUGGGACUGAGACACGGCCCAGACUCCUACGGGAGGCAGCAGUGGGGAAUUUUGGACAAUGGGGGAAACCCUGAUCCAGCAAUGCCGCGUGUGUGAAGAAGGCCUUCGGGUUGUAAAGCACUUUUGUCCGGAAAGAAAACUUCUGCAUUAAUACUGUGGGAGGAUGACGGUACCGGAAGAAUAAGCACCGGCUAACUACGUGCCAGCAGCCGCGGUAAUACGUAGGGUGCGAGCGUUAAUCGGAAUUACUGGGCGUAAAGCGUGCGCAGGCGGUUCGUUAAGACAGAUGUGAAAUCC
rnacentral:rRNA from 1 species